AAACCAGCACCUCAAGUGGUCAGGAUGAUUAUUGGGCCUAAAGCAUCCGUAGCCGGCUCUGUAAGUUUUCGGUUAAAUCUGUACGCUUAACGUACAGGCUGCUGGGAAUACUGCAGAGCUAGGGAGUGGGAGAGGUAGACGGUACUCGGGAGGAAGUGGUAAAAUGCUUUGAUCUCUCGAUGACCACCUGUGGCGAAGGCGGUCUACCAGAACACGUUCGACGGUGAGGGAUGAAAGCUGGGGGAGCAAACCGGAUUAGAAACCCGAGUAGUCC
rnacentral:rRNA from 1 species